UAUAAAUUAUUGUCAUGUUUCUGGGGUGUGACUAUAGACAGGGUAUGGCUUGGAUAUUGAAUUUAUUGACAACUCAAAACUACAAGGAAUUACAGUGCCACUGCUAUCUCCACACUGCGAACACUAAGUCUUCCCCAGCCCGCAGUGUUUUCAACAGCUGUUCCCUAGCAAUGGUUUCAGUCAGUGGAGAAUCUUCAGUUUCCUGUGCUCAGGUCCUUCCUGUAUGGUGAACAUCCUGUAACUGAACACUCUCAGUUCAGAGGCUAGGAACUGGUGGUGUUUGAAACAAGCAACAAAUUUCCUCAGAAAGUUCAUGCAACUGUGAUGGAUCACCUGUUUAUAGACUUGGAUCCCAAAAUAAUCUCAGUCUGUCCAUCAUUCUUUUGGUUCUCCUAAGUCUCAUCUACUUGAAUGAGGAGGAGCUGGGACAGCGUAGUCAGUACAGCGACUGGCUACAGGCUGAAUGACUGAGGGGUCAGAGUUCGACUCCUG